GGCGUCCCGGGGUGGGGGGGACUGUCCACCCCAGAGGAGGGAGACGACCUCCCCACCCCCCCAGCGCGAGCCCCCAAGACCCGCUACAGUUUUCAUCCGCCGUCUGCAGGGCGGGGGGAUAGCCCCAACCAAACGAGCUUCACCGCCGCCUGCGCAGGCUCGAUCAACGUCUGGGGGGGGGUGGGGGCCCCUCCGAGUACCUGGUCCCACCGGCCUUGGGUUGGUUGCCGUCGCCACGUGCUAUCGCCGGACGCUGGCGCCUCUUAAAAGUGUGUGAGUGUGUAACCCCGGGGUUGCCCUGCGCCCUAGCCCUGACCGGUAUCUUUUUCUUUUUUUUUUCUUUGCGAUACACACAGUCCCGUUAGGUGUCUUUGAGCUGAGCAUAGCCUCCGCGGCCUGCAGACCCCCACCCCACCCCCCAGCCCCCACCCGGAGCGCGCAGACGCUGGGGUGGGUGCGCGCCUGGGAGGGCCGAGCCGACGGGCCGGUAGCCGUGAGUGUCGUUACUCUGAUUGGCGCCAGGUCCGUCAAACGCUCGCUCGAGGGAGGUGUUUGUUCCACCUGGACAGUUGCUUAGGUAUGAUUCCCAUCAGGGGCCGCGCCGCGUCGGGGCGGGGGGAGGCUGACUCACGCAGUCAUCGGAUCUCUCUUGCUGGCAGCCCAGCGAGGGCAUAUUUAUAAACUAUGCAGGCUGCUGCGCUUCCGGCGCGGCGCGAGCGACCUGGGAGGCGUCCUGUCACAGCAGGUCUGGGAGCACCGGUUGGGAGCUAACGGUUGUCUUCGUGGUGAGUUCAUCAGGCUAUCUUCUUGAAGUGUGAGUUAAGGUAGCUGUCACUGUGCUCACCUCCAGCUCAGCACCGUCUCCUCCCCUCCCCCCUCAGGGCAAGUCACUUUUCUUUACCUAGGUGAUUCGGACUGAAGUUCGUUGAGGAAGCUACCCCGGUACAGUGAUUCUGUACGCCGGUUGCCUGGUUGGGGAGAGUUGGAAUGAUACAGAUCCAGACCCAAGUAUCUCAGGUCCUCUUCCUGGUCACUUAUCUGUUCCUUUGUACCUGGACCACCCUGUUUCUGGCUGUCACUUAAAAUCUUCGGAAGGCGCUAACUCAGCCUACCAGUCGCUUCCGCCCACUCAGGUCUACGAAGGCCACCGGCAUGGGAGGCUUCUCUGUAACUUGCCCCCGCCCAGCCGCACCUGUGUGUUUGGGGCAUACGUUUAUAGCCCGGUCUGUGGCUAACAGUGCAUGUGAUAACUUACAUGGUGGAAUGUGUUAGGGUCUACCCAAAUCCGGGUGCCCUGGGCCACCAUCACCCUCGGAUUUGCCUCAGAAGAUCCAUUACUGUGUUUGGGACUGAGAGCCCUGGUUUUCCUGUGGCCUUUAGGAUCUAGGGGACUGGGGGGAGCUAACUCGCUGACCCCCGCCUCCUUCAUCCCCUUGAUUUUCAGUGCUCUGUAGUUUCAUUGUGCUUCAUAGUUUCUGAAACAUUUAAAUGCUCUCAUUUAAUAACCAAAUUAGUCAUCUAUGUUCUAUUUUUCUUAAAGUCAAGAUAACAUGAACAUCACAUCCAAAUGCGGCAGAGCUAGGAGGCCUAAAUCUGUCACUCGAGAGGGUCACACAGGUUAUGAAGCAGAGCUUGACCUUAGACAUCAGAGACACCAACGUCCAGAUUUUGCCAAGGUGUCCUCCAAAAUGUCCUACUGUGUCCUAAGAGCUGCUGACCCUGAAGCUGCUGGUUUCCUUUUGGUCUCUCUCUUAGAUGAGGGUCGGAAGAGGGCUUUGCCCCACCCUCGCCACCAGGCCUUACUGAACUUCUCUGGACGAGCAGGGGAGUGGCUCAACCAACCAGCAUCUCUCCACCUCCAUCCUUUAAAGGUCAAAUUUCUGUGUUCAAAGAAACGCAGCUCAUGUGUGCAUAUAUUUGUCAUUUUCAUUUCUUCUUGCCAACUCAUAAUCAUAGCCACAUUUUAUUUUAUUUUAUUUUUUAUUUGUUGUGUGUGAGGGGGAAUGUAAUAUGGAUCCGUGGACAUGCAGGCCGCAUCAUGUAGAGAACAGGAGCUGGUUCUCUCUCACCAUGUUGGGUAGGGUCUGAGGAUUGAACUCUGGUCCUCAGGCUUGCACAGCAAGUGCUUGAACCUACUGAGCCAUUUUGCUGGCUCUUUCUGCCAGAUUUUCUAUGGCAUCUUUAGGGGGUGGGGAAUAAACAAGGGUUUCCAUAUCCCUGGCUGGCCUAGAACUCGCUCUGUAGGUCAUAGAUGAAACCCAGGCAGGGCCUGUGUAGGCAAACACUCCACCACCACUGAGCUGUACCUGAGCCCUUAAAAGCUAGUAAACGUUCAUUUGGCAAAAAGCAGUGAACAAGUAUUUAUAAUUGCAAGAGGAAAAAUGUUCUGACUUUUCUUUAAACAUUGUUUGAGAUAAGUACAUAUUUUUAUGCAAUAAAGGUCAAACACCUCAAGAGUUGUUAACUUCCUUUAAUCCCAUCAAAAGGUUAAUCCAUUCACAUGUUUCUAUUUAUCAUAUUAUUGCUACCCAAACCUGAAGAGGAACCACUUACAAUAGCACACAUUGAUAUAAUAUCUAGAAAUAAAAGUAACAAACAUUUCCAGGGUUUACAAAGAAAACAUUAAGGCCCUACUGAGGAGCAUGAAGGGAGACCAGAAAAUAGAGAGGAAACAGAGAGGCAAUUUUCCUUAGUGAAGUUACAACAGCAAAGGAUACGUGAAGUUUGCUCUCCCAGCAUCACUUUUAAAUUCAGAGCAAAUUCUGUGAAAUAGUAACAGUUUUCUGUUUUGUAUUUUAAUAGGCAAACAGUGCUACAGUGCAUGUAAAUUCUAGAAAAGGAGAGUUUCAUUAAAAAUAAAGCUGGAAGGCUAGGCACGGUGAUGAAAGCCUUUAUCCCAACAUUUGGAGUCAGGGGCUGGUGAACCUCUAUGAUUUCAAGGUGAGCCUAGUUUACUUAGGGAGAUCAAAGACAGCCAGAGCUAUGUAAUAGAGAGCCUAUCUCAAAAACAAACAAGCAAAUAAUUCAGGAAAUACUCGCUCAGCUUCUUAGGAAGAGGCAGGAGAAUGGGUUGAGCUGAAUUUGAAGCCACUCCUGGACAAUGUAGUGAGAAAAUAUGAAAAUUAAUAUAAAAAUAGUAUGAAAGUUAAGUAUGCUAGCCAGGCAUAGUGGCUCAUGCCUGAAUCCCAGCAGAGGCAGGCGGAUCUCUCUAAAUUUGAGGCCAGUCUGGUCUACAGAGUUCCGGGACAGCCGAAGCUAUACAGAAAUCCUGGAAUGGAAAGGAGGGAAAGAAAAGACAAGGCUUGGUGGUGCACGCCUUAAAUCCCAGAACUUGAGAGGGAGAGGCAGGUGGAGAUCUGUGGGUUCAAGGACAGCUUGGUCUGCAUAGUAAAUUCCAGGACAACCAGGAAGGUAUUUUAAAACGCAUAGAAGUGUAUUGUACUGGUGCUGCAAAGAAUGUGGCCCCGUUCUAGAAGGAGGCAUAAAGAACUAUGUAAUGUUGGAACUACAAAUUAGAACACAAAACACAGAAAUGAUAGAGAUCUGAGUAUGUAUUAUGUCUUUAGUGUGGUGUGGCUGUAGGAUAUGGGAGGGACAUGUGAAAGAGGACAACCAGGUGGAGUUGGUCCUCCCCUUCCACCUUCCCCUGGCUUCCUGAGCUUGAACUUAGGUCACCAGUGAACCAGCAAACACUUUACCUGUUACUGAUCCUCUCACCAGCACAAAAUACACACGUUCACAUGCAUUUCACUCAGUUAUAUGGAAUAGAAGGAAAAUCCAGAAUGUGUGUUUGUUUUUAUUAAUGCACAGCCAGGCAUGUGGGGCAUCCCAUAAUUCCAGCACUCAAAGAAGUGGACGCCCUUGAGGUCAGAAAACAUGGACUGCAUAGGGAGACUUUGUUUGAAAAGCAUGUUGUUUGUCCAUUUUCUCACAUGCACGGAAACCAGAGUAAGCAGUCAACAGCACUCAAGACACAGACUUAGUUCCAGAAGAGAUGGCACAGCUGUAAGAAAGAACCACCUGCUUCUGAGAAGUGGGACGGGCCGGAGAGAUGGCAAGGUGGGUGAGAACACUUGCUGUUCUUCCAAAGAGGACUUAGGUUCAGUUCCUAGCACCCACUUCAGAAAGCGCAAAACCACCUACUGUGAAUCCCUGGGACCUGACGUCCUCUUCUGGCCUCUUUGGGCAUUCACAGGUGCAUGUCUCUGUGUGUGUGUCCACAGGGGAAAAAAAAAAAAAGUAGUAUUAAAGUUUAACAAAUCUACAGGUUAGAAAUUUACAAAAAAAAAUGCAGAUUACUAAAAAACAUUGGGAAAGACAUGAUAACUUGCUUUUGCUGCUAUGAGAGGGUAGAGGGUAUCAGACUGAUUCAUCAAUUAACAGUGGCGAUACAUUCAGAAUCGUGUUAUUGGGCAAUUUCACUGUGCAGAUAUCAUGCAGUGCCCUUAUCCAAAAUGGAUGUGAUAUCACUGGGCCACUCUUCCUCUCCCCCCCCCCCCCCCCGCAAAGAACAGAUCUCCCUAUGUAUCUCUGGCUAGCCUAGAACUCACUAUAGAGGCCAUGCUGGCCUGGAACUCACAGAACUAUUCUGCCUCUGCCUUUCCAGGUGCUGGGAUUAAAGACGUGUACAGCCACACCUGGCAAGGCCAUGCAGUCUUAGGAAACCACCACCAUCUGAGCGCUACAGCAUUGACUAUAUGGCCCGUGGCUGUACACGCACACACUGUAAAAACAACACAAAGUCAUUUUUCAUAGAAUUUUUUCUGAAUGCCUGCGUAGCUUAGAAUGACACUUGAGAAUAUUAAGGGCAGCUACUUCUGUAGGUGACAGGAGAUUGAAGGCUGGAGUGGUGCCUGUCACGGUGUCGCGGUAAUUAACUCUUUGAGUAAUAAUCUGACCCGCUAUAGCUUAGACGCCACCCAUCUCCAUCAGGUGUGUGAGUCUGGUCCUCUCGUGGGUUAAGCUGAAGAGUCCCGAGUGAAGAUCUGAAAUGAGACUCUUGUGUUUUAAGACUUUCCGGUCAGAUCCUGUAUUCUAGAGCUAGUGGUGGUUAAUCUCUAGCUGGUGUGAAUGAGUAAUGACAGCAGAAACUAAUUACCCAUCACCCCUUCCAGCAAACAAGAACAAGUGCUGUCAUAGCCUGGGAAUAGGUGACCAGAUGUAAAAAAAAAAAAAAUUAAACACAUUUAUCUCAAUCUAGGUAGUCCUUAAAGCCCACGUGUUAUGACGUGGAAACAGAGCUGGAUCAUUUUCACCAAAAAUGAAUUACUAGACGUGUGGGUGAGGUUAGGGUGCUCCUCGGAAGGCAGGAACUCAGCUGAUGGAAGGCUUUCCAGUCCAGGGCUGCGUCUGUGGAUGGAGUGAAACUCAGGGCGGCCCGCACAAGCCCAGGCAAUCCCUUCGUAUUUUCUUCAGACACGGGAAUGCGUUCUCCCUUCCGGCCAGCCCACGUGAAUAAAUUUUAUUUUCGUAUUUAUUUAUUUAUUUGCCGCAGUGUCAGGAGUUGAAUCUAGGACUUCCCCGUGGGAGGCGAGUGCUGACCUCAGAGCUACGCCUCAGCCGUGGUCAGCUUUAAAGUCUGGCCUCUGUGCUGUCGUUUACUACGCUUGAUGUAUAAAGAUCGGCACAUUGCAUUUUAGUUUUUCAUUUUGACAGCCCUGUAGCACACCUAGAAAGGAUGUAACAUAGACCUGUACUAGUCCUGUGGAAACCCUUUCCUUUUUUUUAAUAGUAGUUUUUAUGUGUCUGGGCCUCGUGCUGCAUGUGUUCUGUGUUUCCAGUGUGUGCCCGGUGCCUUGGAGGCCAGAGAGGACUUUGGGUCCUCCGGACUUCAGUUAUAGCUGGCCCUCAGCUGCCAACCUGCGAGACAGCUGAGUAAGCGCAGGUGCAGCAGCUUCGCCUCUCCCAGAGUGGAUUUUCUGCUCUUUAACUCCUUUAUUUUUAUGGGCAUGUUUGACUUUUCCACUCUCUACCUCAGGCUCAGGGUGGUGUGGGAAUUCAGCGGGUAACCCAGACACGCAGCACUCCUAGCAGUCCUCCUGCCUCAACCUGAAGAGUGCUGGCUUACAGGCAGGUAUGGCCGCACCUGGUUCUCUGAGGAGGUAGGAACGGGACCCAGGGCUUUGUGUAAGUGCUCUACCCACUGAGCUACAUGACCAGUCCAUGAGCUAGUGACCCUUGAGCUGUCUUCUUUCCUGUACAACUUCACACUUUCUUCUUGCUUCUAUUAUUUGAUAUAAAUCCCAGAUAUCAUGUCACUUCUGGAUCAGCAGUUAGGAUUAAAAGUUCUCGCUUGCCUCAUCAGCAGCGCUGCCAAAAUGACUUAUAAAUAGGGCGGGAUAGUCCACAAUCACACACACCACUGUCUUUUUCUAGCUGUUUUCUGCUUCUAGACUUAAGCUUUUCUUCAGAGAACAAUGGCAUUUUGUCCUUAGUUGGUAAUUUAAUGCUUGUAGUUCUAGUAGCCCAAUAUUUAGGUCAAUAAUGAGAUAAAAUUCCUCCUUUGGACAGGCCUAUUCUUAGAUACUCAUUUCCAUUCUUUGUGCCGGCACGCUGUGGGCUCAGUUUGUUCUUGGUUGGUUGGUUAAAACACAUUCACAUCUCUACAUUUUUUUUUCUUCUGGUGCUGGGAAUUAGUCACUGUACCCAAAUCCUCCACAGAAAGCAGUUUAAGGGAAGAAAGGUUUAUUUUGUAUCAUAAUUCAAGUGGGCAUGUGUGCCCCCUCAAAGAGUUAAAUGCUUUUAGAAAGACAAAAGCUUUCUUCCUUCCUCCCUUCCCUGCCUUCCUUCCCUUUUCUGUAACACACACAUAGUGGGGGUGGCCCUUCAGGUUACGGAACAGCUUCCCGAGUCUCCCUCCACCUUGUUUCUGGCACAGAGUGAGUCUUUCCUGCUGCUUCCACACUGAGUCCACCAGGCUGGAUAGUCUGCAAGCCUGACUCAGGAGUGCCGGGAUUCUAGCUGCGCCCAAUUCCCUGAGUUCUGGGGAUCAAACUCAGGCUCCUGUCCCAAGUGCUUUUGCCCAUCCAGCCAUCUCCAUGUCUCGAGAAGAGAUUGUCACUAAGGGGGAAGAAGUGACACUGUGUUCAUAAAAAUACAAACAAGUUUUUCACUUGACGUUUUUAAAAAGUUUCUACAAAUUCAGGCUUGACUGUGCCUUGUAUGCGUGACAACUCCUGUGUGUGGAGUUCAAUGCUGUACAGCUUCUACGGCCACUGAAAAGCAUGUCACCUUAACAAGAAAAUGAAACCACUUCAGGUCAAGCUUAUGACAGACUGUACACUGUUAUCUUUAAUUAUUUUUUUAUUUUUUGAGACUGGGUCUCACUGUGUAGCCUGGCCAGCCAGGAACUCAUUGUGUACACCAGGCUGGCCCAGAACCCACAGAUCUCCCUCCACCUGUCUCUGCCUCCGGAGUGCUAAGAUUAAAGGUGUGCCCUGGUCUCCAGCUCAUGAUUUUUAACUUUAAUAUAAUUCCAGCCUUACAGAAAAAUUUAAGAACGGUACAAAGAAAUCCCAUAUGCUCUUUUCCCACCGGGACUCCAUCGUUCGUGAUUUUCCACAGACACAUACGCACACACACAGAAGUACUCUUCUCCCUUUCCAGGAUUUCUGUUGAUUUGUAUGUGCAGGUGCGGGCAGGCCUGAGAAGGACAAAAGAGGGCAUGGGCCCCACCAGAGCUGGGAUUCCCGUUGCCAGCCACCAGUGUGUGUGCUGGGAACUGAGGGGGAGCCCUUUGGGCUAAUCCACACUGGGCUUUCAGAACCUUGGCUGGCUGUUCCACAGCUAAGUCCGAUGUCUUCUCCUGCCCAGAUUACGGCCCUGCGUUUUUGACAGACAUGGUCUGAAGGGACCUCCUGCCCUUGUCAGCAUAGGUGUCAAGGAACACGUGAUUUCAGUAUUGGCUUCUCUUAUUAACCUCGAUCUCAUGGUUGAGAUGAAUGUUACCCAAAGCUAGCCACGAUGGGUAUUAUUUUUACCUUUGUGGUUGAUGAAUCUGUCAAAUGUACCAAAAUAGGUGGAUGUCCUGCCCUUCAAGCCUCCACCCUGUGCCUCGGCCACACCCCGUCACACCUUCUCCAUUUCUUCCGCUGCGGUGGUUCCCCUUCAGCUGCUUGUGUUGCUUUGUUUGCUUCCAGAAGCAUGAGUGUCUGGGGUCCUGGUUCAUUAGUGCAUCAACCGCCCGUUAAUACUGUUGUUAACGAUUAUGUUACCCAGAGGUACCCAGGAGUUCCUCAGAUUGGCUUACUAGUUAGAUCUGUUCCUUGACAAUGUUAUAUCGUCAAUGAAUUCUGAGAUUCUCACCCGCCUUCUCAUCUCCCCUCUGACCCCCGUCAGUCCCUCUCCCUACAAGUCCCUUUUGUCUUGUUCAUGUCUCUCUUCUUUAAUAUGUAAAAACUUGUAUGUGUGUGGACAUUUUCCUCACACAUGUGCUCUGUGUGUGCCUGCUGCCUGCAGAGGCCAGAAGAGGGCAUUGAGUCCCUGGGAACAGCCUUAGGAUGGUUGUGAGCCCCGAGUGGGUGUUGGGAAGGGAACCUGGGUCUUCCUCAAGAGCAGCAAGCAAGCAUAUUGCAACCAGAUUUAUGACUAUCUUAACCUCUUUAUGACUAUUAUAACACUCUUAACCUCUGAGCCGUCCCUCCAGCCCCUCGUGCCUUUCUGUUUUGUUUUGUGACUCACUGAAUCUAACCACAGUGGUUCAUGUGAUUGUGUGCGUGGAACCUCUCAUUCUAGUGGUGGUAGAUUCACCAGUGGGUUCAAAGUUGAAGACAGAGACACCCCUAUUGGUAUAAUGUUCGUUUGGAGUGUAAGCACCUUUCCCUUGUUCAUUAAAAUGCUGAUUUCUCUCCCCCACUAUCUGGUUUCAGUCCGGACAUUGCAUUGUGAUACUUAUUCUAAGCAUCACCUGUCUCAAGUUUAUGUAAAUAUGCCACCAUUUGUUCUCCAAUUUGUCAAUUAAAACAACCAGCCACAAUGUUGAGCAAUGGAGAGGAUAGGGUGGACAUCCUGGUUCAGAGUGGGAGGGGAGGAAGGAAGUAGGAGAAGAGGAAAAGUAGGAAGGAGAAGAGGAGCAGAAGCUGGGAGAGCAGAGGCUGGAGAAGAGGUCUUGGAACAAGGUGGAGAAAUGAACUGGACCUAAGAUAUCACUAAAAGCAAGUAUAAUGGAUGAAUCUGAAUGGUAGGAAACUAUGUGGGCUUGGAGGCUUAGGAUGGAGUAACUAAAUCCUAGUCUCUGUGUGGUGAUUUGGUUUUACAGCUGUUUAGGAUUAACCACAGCUUUACUAAAAGAUAUAUCAAUAGUAAAUAUUAAUGACAAACUACAACAAAUGGCGCCCAACUAAUCUAAGUAUUCACACCCUUUAAAUCAUACUUUAUCAUAAUUUGGUGGGGAGAAUAAGCUCCAAGUGAUACAACCCAAACUUAAAACCUAAAAACUCCCAGGUCAAGACUCUUAAACAGGCUCUGGAACAAAAGACAGCCUACCGUGGGCAGACCCUGAGACUUAAUAAAACUGGCUGCAGCUACAGCCUCACAGGUCGGGUACUUGAGCAUGGCUUAUUCAUACUAUGGCUGCCUCAGCUCAGCUCAGCUCAGCUCAGCUCAGCAGCCAUGGUGGGAAAGAAAGAAAUUGGAGGCAGAUAAACUUCUAGACAGAGUUUGGCCUAAAACUGCAUCUAAAAUAAAAAAUGCCAUGGCAGAGGGUGUUUUAAUACCUUGUGGCUUUGUUUUGGUUGUCAUAGUCAUAGAUCUGGUUGCAAUAUGUUUAAUGGUGAUGGUUCUUCUCCAUACCUUCUCCAAGAAAGUUCAAGGAGAAAACGGGGGAAAGCUAAGCAAUUGAAUACUAAGUUACACAUGAUAGAAAGGGUACUCUUCAUAAUAAAAAUUGGAUUAAUAAUGGCUAAAAUUCCAAGCUGUCUGGCUGCAAGAUACUUAUCAGCUCUUUCUGGUAAGGGUCUGCCAAUUCACUGAAACAUGAACUAAAUUCCAAAAAAAUAACCAACUGGGCUUUGCUUGCUACAGGGUAAAUUGGCACGACUGACCCAAAACUUAAAUUUUUCUUGUCUCUUUGCUUGAUUUUCAUCUAAAGGCUUUGAGUUACAACGAUGUUAAUUUGAACAAAUUGGUGAAGGCAUAUGCCUUUAUUCCCAACACAAAGUAAAAAGAACCAGGCAGAUCUCGGAGUUCUGGAUAAAGCUAACUUACAUGAUAAAAGCCAGGAUGGCAACUCCUGCUGUUUAGUCACUUGCAGAGAUAGUCUUAAGAUUCAAAAUGACAAAAUUGUCUUUAAGGUUACCAUAUAAGUUGGAUUCACAUCAAUUUUAGGUUUAUAUAAAGAGAGAUGAUGUCACACUGCUCUAAAAGCCAGCUUAUCCUUUCGAACAUGAGACAUUUUCACCGGGACAAAUGUUGGUCAUGCCUGAUACAAAAAAGACAUAGGAGGCUUACAGAUGGCAAAGUACAUGCCAACCUAGUUAAGUCCUAAAAACUCAAAAAUUAUAAUUCAUAUGUUUAAAAAACAAAACUGUCCAUCCCAUAUCAAAAAGGGGGCAAACCAAAGAUAGUCAAAAGCAAUGUAAAAACCCAGGUAUGAGAUGCCUAGGAUAUACUUAAAUGCUAAGGGUAAAAGAAAGUUCAUAUAAAGUUUGGCUACAAAGGCGUAAUGCCCAUUCUUAGAAGAAAAAAAAAAAAAAAAAAAAGGCAAGCCAAAAAAUAGCCACAACCAAUGUAAAACUCCGGGUACAAGAUGCCUAGGGUAUGCUUAAAUGUUAAAGGUAAAAGAGAGAUUAAAUAAAGUUUAGCUAUAAAGGCAUUACUGCCCAUUCUAUAUAAAAAAGGGGAUAGGACAAAUAGCUACAACAUAUAUAAAAACCUAGGCCUAAACCUCUAAACAGGUACUAGAUGCCUAGGGUAUGCUUAAAUUCUAAAUUUAAAAAGGAAUUUAUAUUACAUUUACUUAAAACAUGCCCUUUCUAUUGCUCAAGGCAACCAGCUUGUCUUGAUAAAGGGAGGCCUUCUCUUGGGAAAUAGAUAACAGCUUGGCCUAAUAUAUCAGGCGGCCAAGAGCCCAAAAAAGUUAUUUUGAUCUAUACAACCUUGUUUUGAUCUCAACAUAAGGACUGUAUGUUCAAUAAAAAUGGUAACUUAUAUUGCUGAUCCCUUUAUAUGGAAACAACUCUAAAACUAACUGAGAGAUAAAAAAAAAUAUCUCUAGCCAGAACUCCAACAUUACAUGACCAAGAAAUCCUUGGCUAUAAUAUCCUCAAAAUUUUUGUACCAUUCUUUUAAUUGGCAUAGAUAAAAUUGGUUUACAGUUUAGUUUCAUCCUGCACAUCUCAUACAUUUAUAAUUUUAGAACUGAAUAAUGCUUGUGAGAAAUUAUGUUUGCAGAACAAAAAAAAACAGACACUGGUCAAGACGCUGGAUCAAACCUGACAGAAUCCUCCUUCCAGCAUGCUGAGACACUGACACAUCUGUUUCAGCAUUCUGCUUGUUCCUGCCUCAACUGCUUCAGUUGCUGUUUCUCAUCAAAGCCUGCUCCCAAGAGAGCUUUGAAGAAAGCUACUAAUCUUAAUUGGUCCAGCAUUUUAGACUUUUAUUAAGCCUGAAAUUUCUCAACAUUCAAAGACUGGACCACAAAUGUUAUUGCUUGCUUAAUUAACCGAUUUUUCCCAAUUUUCUUUGGGCCUUCUAACGGGAUUUCUGUGUGUCCAAAAUGUCAGCUAGAAGAAAUCCAUGAGAACGACGUCCAAUUUUCCUUAAAGGGGGUUGGGUGUGUUUUUGGUUUUCUAUGGCUACGAAUUUUUAUUGUCAUUGGGAGAUGUUUAUAAAUUAUCAAUGGUCUUAUUCAAAGUGAAACAAGGUUAUUCUCAGGGAUUUCUCUCUUUUCCUUUUUCUUUUAUCUAUCUAUCUUUCUUAGAUAAGGAGAAAAGGGGUUAAAAAGAAAGAAAGGCGUAUACAGGGAUAUUUUAUAAGAAUUAGACAAAAGGUAGAUUAUUGAAUCUACUCAACUUAGGGUUUUAUUUGUUAUUCUCAAAUAAGGUUAUUUUUAACUCUGGUAUAAGAUUUUGCAUAUUGAUGCAAAAAUAAGUCUAUUUUUGAUACAUUGGUAUAAGCUUUGGUAUAUUGAUACCAAUUCAAGGUUACUUCCAAUACUUUUAAACUGCUAUUAAAAACUGGUUAGGUUAUUAGGUAAUGCAAAUUAAUUGCUAGUUAAUCAACUCAUAGUCAUGUCAGACACUAGUCUAAUUUAUCACAGGAGUAUACAUCCUAGGUUUAACAGAUAGAUAUGAUUUUGUAGACAGAUCAAUUACAUAAAGAUAGGUAGCCUUCAAAAACUUCAGAGACCUACAGAAUGUGGCAUUUAAAAAUGUCUUUAUUAUUUUAAAGAUUCUUUGACAAUGAGACAGGUCAUCUCCUGGCAGCAACCCGCCUACCUCAAAGAUGAUGAUGAGCAUCGAAGACCCUCCAUAUGGAAAUGGCUUCAAAUGUGGCAAAUGAGCCACUCGGGUAAAGAGAAUACCCUCGCUUCACAACAGACAGAAUUCUGCCAAAAAUGGGCAAGCUUAAAUGCAGGACAAGUCGACUGCUGAACUCUGCCAAGACAGGAUAUGUUCCAGUAUCCUGCCAGACCCAGGUGUUUCCUUUAGCCACACCGCCAAAGCAGCUGCCACAGGUGUUCCAGUCUGACCUCACAGACCUCAGUCAAGCUGGACCUGCACUUUCCCUCCCAGGCAUGGAUGUUCUCAUAGGCCCUGGACAGCAUCAAAACAGCCUGUUCUUCCUGGACUUGGCCAACAUUUCAGCCUUUUGACCUCCCCACAGCGCCCCAGCAUCAGCAGGAAGUAGCCAGAAGAGAAUCUACGCCCGUUAUUCACCUUUAAACAAAAGGCUGGAAUGGUGUGCUCCAGGACCAGGUUCCCCCAGCAUGCCUCAGUCCCUACCUGCUGCCUUGUGUGGCUGGCAACUCUUUACUGGGAACUCUCUACCCUGAACUUUCCAGGGCAGGGAAUUCCCCUCCUCCGCUUGACCAUGUAAUCUGGACAUUUUGUUGCUACUGGUUUUUUUUCUCUCUCUUACCCGCUUGCAUGGCAACCAAGAGAUGAUUCCUAAAGAACCUAAAUUUAUAUACUUUAACUUAUGUGAGAAGCAGCCCAAGCUCCUCAUUCUUUAAUUAUAGAAAAAGGGAGGAAUGUUAGUAUUUAGGCAGCCUGCUUCUGGGUUGCCUAGCAACCUACGAUGUCAUCAUGUGUUGCCUGCCAGGUGUGCCUACCUGGCAGGCAUGGUUAAGUUUCUCCUUAAAAGGACCAACUCACCACUUUGUCGCUCUCUUGCCCUCUCCCCUUCCAUGUUUCACUCUCUCCUCUCUCUCUCUCUUCAAGGCCAUCUAAUAAACCUCUCAUAUAAAAUUUA